GACGACGCUCUGGCGGUCCAUGCGCUUGGCGAGCAUGGCCUGAGCGAUGGCGUUGUUGAUUUUGUGAGCUCCGCCGUGGUUGAGAUCCUCUCUCUUGAGGUAAAUGUCGGGGCCUUCUCCCCUGCUAUUCUUGUAAUGAUCGCUGAGUCUUUGCGCCAAAUAUAGUGGAGUUUCGCGGCCAACGUAAUCUCUUAGUGCAGUCGCGAGCUCCCCCUGUAUAAUUACUAUAAGUUUCACAAACCAAAAAUAUGUAUAACACCUAUCUCGGCUAUAUAACGUUAACUUUUCAUGAUUGAUUAUUAUUUUCUCAAGCAAAAUUACUUCAAAUGAAAGAAAUUAUCAAAGGUUUUGGAUAUCUCAAAGUUCUAAUUCAUUUAAGUAAACAUCCUCUAAAUUUAAUAAUUUUAGUCAUAAAUUCUAAUUACAUGAUUGAUAAAAUGCACAAUUGAGUAUUUUUAUCCUUAAGAGUAAGAUUUCUUAAAUUUCACCAUUUCAAUGGAAAAAAUAUCAAGCAAAACUAAUUCAAAUGAUAGAAAUAAUCAAGAGCCUUGGAAUAUCCCAAAAUUUCAAUUCAUCAAAGUAAACAAAGAAUUGAGCUUACUAUUUUUAUCCAUCAAUGAUAAUCCUCUAAAGUCAACGUCACUUAAAUAUAAUGCCAUUUCUGUGUAGAUGAAUAGUUUGGAUAUGAAUCAGAAAAUAUAGUCGUUAAUAUAUGAACCUGAAAGUGGGGAUCAUGCAGGCAAAGGUUGAAUUCAGAUGCGAGCAUGUUGAGGCAGGUGACUAGUGUUUCAGGCACGAAGAUUCCUCCAAACCUGCCGUAUUUGCCUGUCCUAAACAAC
rnacentral:lncRNA from 1 species